rnacentral:lncRNA from 1 species
GUGGAUGGGAAACUAGUACUUGUGGGUCCCACAACAUAUCUAGAUAAAAUGUUAUUUGGAUUUUUAUAAACAUAAGCCGAACGUAGACUAGGUCUGAAUAGGACUAAAAGUAAGAUUAUUAUUUUUGAGUAGGAGAUAAAUUAUUGACAUUUUCUUUGAUUUUGGUGGGAAAUUAGUGGCAUCAUGGGAACUUAGUGACAUUAUUGUCAGCUUACAUGGGCUUAGAAGAUGUGUGACUUUCGACUAUAAUAGUAAUACUAGCCUUUGUUGCUCAAAGAUCUCCAUUUGUAGUCAUCCAAUGACUUUUUACUCGCUGCUUCUUACUAUUCGAUGAUGAAUUAUUUUUCGUUCUUGUAGGUCUCCGGAAACGUUGGAAUCUCAACAGAAUUGUGGCAUUAUGUAAGAAUGAUCCGAGUAUUUUUCAUUGGUCACAUCUGCUCGCGUCAUCCAAAGGUUGUGUAAGCAAAUUGCUGCUGGUGCCAAAAGUGGGUGAUGAUGGUAUUUAUGUGCCAAAAUAGGAUAUUUGCUGCUGUUUUGAGAUCGAAUUUACUUUAGAAGAAAUGUAAUCUUCCUAAAGCUGAUAGGGUGCCUUAUUUGGCGUUGAAUAUUUUAAAUAAUUUCGAAAACUUUAGUAUGAAACCUGGCAUUUACCUAUUACGGAAAUGAUAUGUAAUUCAGCAAAAUAUUAUUUGGAAUUCUUCCUUAUGUUUCUCUCAAUUUUUUAUUUAUUAUUAUUAUUCUUAUUAUUAUUAUUUUUAGCAUAGAUUAUUAACUGAUGAUGUGUGUUUUUAGAAGUUGCUUUUAUAGCUG